rnacentral:rRNA from 1 species
GGCGAACGCUGGCGGCAGGCCUAACACAUGCAAGUCGAACGAACCUUUCGGGGUUAGUGGCGGACGUGUGAGUACCACGUGGGAACGUGCAUUUAGGUUCGCAAUACCUCAGGGUAACUUGUGUUCAUAACGCAUGUGCUCUUCGGGGGUAAGAUCUAUCGCCUUUUGAGCGGCCCGCGUCAGAUUAGCUAGUUGGUUGAGGUCUUGGCUCACCUAAGCGACGAUCUGUAGCUGGUCUGAUAGGAUGCUCUGACACAUUGGGACUGAGACACGGUCCAAUCUCCGACGGGAGACAGCAGUGUAGAAGCUAGCGCAAGGAGCGAAAGCCUAGCACAGCCAUGCCGCGUGAAUGAUGAAGGUCUUAGGAUUGUAAAAUUCUUUCUCCGGGGACGAUAAUGACGGUACCCGGUGAAGAAGCCCCGGCUAACUACGUG